UCAUGCGGAGUAAGACCAACAGGGAUUGCCUCAGUAACGGCGAGUGAAGCGGCAACAGCUCAAAUUUGAAAUCUGGCCCUCGGGUCCGAGUUGUAAUUUGUAGAGGAUGCUUUUGGCGCGGUGCCUUCCGAGUUCCCUGGAACGGGACGCCUUAGAGGGUGAGAGCCCCGUACGGUUGGACACCAAGCCUCUGUAAAGCUCCUUCGACGAGUCGAGUAGUUUGGGAAUGCUGCUCUAAAUGGGAGGUAAAUUUCUUCUAAAGCUAAAUAUUGGCCAGAGACCGAUAGCGCACAAGUAGAGUGAUCGAAAGAUGAAAAGCACUUUGAAAAGAGGGUUAAAUAGCACGUGAAAUUGUUGAAAGGGAAGCGUUUGCGACCAGACCUUUUCCUGGCGGAUCAUCCGGUGUUCUCACCGGUGCACUUCGCCAGGUCGAGGCCAGCAUCGGUUUCCGCGGGGGGAUAAAAGCUCUGGGAACGUAGCUCCUCCGGGAGUGUUAUAGCCCUCUGCACAAUACCCCCGCGGGGACCGAGGACCGCGCUCUAAGCAAGGAUGCUGGCGUAAUGGUUGUCAACGACCCGUCUUGAAACACGGACCAAGGAGUCGAACAUUUGUGCGAGUGUUUGGGUGUCAAACCCUCACGCGUAAUGAAGGUGAACGUAGGUGAGAGCCCUUACGGGUGCAUCAUCGACCGAUCCUGAUGUCUUCGGAUGGAUUUGAGUAAGAGCAUAACUGUUCGGACCCGAAAGAUGGUGAACUAUGCGUGGAUAGGGUGAAGCCAGAGGAAACUCUGGUGGAGGCUCGCAGCGGUUCUGACGUGCAAAUCGAUCGUCAAAUCUGCGCAUGGGGGCGAAAGACUUAUCGAACCAUCUAGUAGCUGGUUACCGCCGAAGUUUCCCUCAGAUAGCAGUGUUGUUCUUCAGUUUUAUGAGGUAAAGCGAAUGAUUAGGGACUCGGGGGCGCUUUUUUGCCUUCAUCCAUUCUCAAACUUUAAAUAUGUAAGAAGCCCUUGUUACUUUA
rnacentral:rRNA from 1 species